AUUGAACGCUGGCGGCAGGCCUAACACAUGCAAGUCGAACGCGUGGCGCACGGGUGAGUUAUGUCUGGGAAACUGCCUGAUGGAGGGGGAUCACCUCUGGAAACGGUAGCUAAUACCGCAUACCAUCGGAUGUGCCCAGAUGGGAUUAGCUAGUUGGUGGUGUAAUGGCUCACCUGGGCGACGACCCCUAGCUGGUCUGAGAGGAUGACCAGCCACACUGGAACUGAGACACGGUCCAGACUCCUACGGGAGGCAGCAGUGGGGAAUAUUGCACAAUGGGCGCAAGCCUGAUGAAGCCAUGCCGCGUGUAUGAAGAAGGCCUUCGGGUUGUAAAGUACUUUCAGCGGGGAGGCGUUACCCGCAGAAGAAGCACCGGCUAACUCCGUGCCAGCAGCCGCGGUAAUAC
rnacentral:rRNA from 1 species